ACGAAAAUAAAAGUUAUACGCGUAAGUGCAACUCAUUUUGUUUCAGAGCAAUGGCGUCCUUAACUGGAAGACAAAGAAGUCGGCCAAUGAUAAAAAUCACCAUACUUCUCCUUACAGCUUCCAUCCUCCUAAUAGCCAUCAAUACAACUGCCCUAUACCAAUUAUCUUCACCACUAUCAAAUCCACCCCAUCCUUUCCGUCCAGCAGUUUCACCUCACCAGUUAAAUAGUACAGGAUAAGUUGGAUGGACGAAGAUGAUAUUGUGCCUCUUUUUUGUUAAGAGAUGCUAUACAACAUAUUUAUUCUCAUGUUCUGGUCGCUAAGUAAUUCAAAUAAAUCAUGAGAGCAUGGAAGUUAUGUGAUAUGAAUAAGGAGAAUAAGAUGAAGAAGAUUCUCCAAAAAAAAAUCUAAAGCUUUUUAUUUUAAAUCGUUAAUGUCUAGACAUAAAUGGAGCAAUAUAAAUUCCAAGUUUACA